UGAACGCUAGCGGCAGGCUUAACACAUGCAAGUCGAGGGGUAGAGGAAGCUUGCUUCCUUGAGACCGGCGCACGGGUGCGUAACGCGUAUACAAUCUACCUUUUACAGAGGGAUAGCCCAGAGAAAUUUGGAUUAAUACCUCAUAGUAUAGCAGUUUCGCAUGAAACCACUAUUAAAGUUCCAACGGUGAAAGAUGAGCAUGCGUCCCAUUAGCUAGAUGGUAAGGUAACGGCUUACCAUGGCUACGAUGGGUAGGGGUCCUGAGAGGGAGAUCCCCCACACUGGUACUGAGACACGGACCAGACUCCUACGGGAGGCAGCAGUGAGGAAUAUUGGACAAUGGGCGCAAGCCUGAUCCAGCCAUGCCGCGUGCAGGAUGACGGUCCUAUGGAUUGUAAACUGCUUUAUACAGGAAGAAACACUACUUCGUGAAGUAGCUUGACGGUACUGUAAGAAUAAGGAUCGGCUAACUCCGUG
rnacentral:rRNA from 1 species